GCGGAGGAAAAGAAACUAACAAGGAUUCCCCUAGUAACGGCGAGUGAAGCGGGAAGAGCUCAAAUUUGUAAUCUGGCGGCCUUUGGCCGUCCGAGUUGUAGUCUCGAGAAGCGUUUUCUGCGUCGGACCGUGUACAAGUCCCUUGGAACAGGGCGUCGUAGAGGGUGAGAAUCCCGUCUUUGACACGGACUGCCGGUGCUUUGUGAUGCGCUCUCAAAGAGUCGAGUUGUUUGGGAAUGCAGCUCAAAACGGGUGGUAAAUUCCAUCUAAAGCUAAAUAUUGGCGAAAGACCGAUAGCGAACAAGUACCGUGAGGGAAAGAUGAAAAGCACUUUGGAAAGAGAGUUAAACAGUACGUGAAAUUGCUGAAAGGGAAACGCUUGAAGUCAGUCGCGUCUCCCGGGACUCAGCCGUGCCCUAUCGGGCGCGGUGUACUUCCUGGGUGUGACGGGCCAGCAUCGAUUUCGGCCGUCGGAGAAAGGCCUUGGGAAUGUGGCACCUUCGGGUGUGUUAUAGCCCUGGGUCGCAUGCGACGGUCGGGAUCGAGGACCGCAGCACGUUUCUCCUUCCUUCACGGGGAGGGGCUCGGGGUUCGCCCACGCAAACGUUGCUUAGGAUGCUUGGCGUAAUGGCUUUAAGCGACCCGUCUUG
rnacentral:rRNA from 1 species